rnacentral:misc_RNA from 1 species
AAAGUCGUAACAAGGUUUCCGUAGGUGAACCUGCGGAAGGAUCAUUAACACUAACUUUCUUAUCAACCUAGGUGCAUUCGUCUGAACCUUUUCAUUCAGGGGUCGACUAGACAAUGGUUGGAUUCGGUCUAGUCUGCUGUAAGUCAGCCCGUCUUCUCUAAUCGGAAGGCGAUCGGUCUGUCGCUCUGUCUUAGAAGGUAUACAGUCUCAACCAUGGCUGGCCCUUUUUUUUUUAAACCUUGAACUUUGUACUGAUUUGGGCUUUCGAUAGAGAGGAGCAAUCCUUUCUCGAAGCUUUUGAUGGAGUAAUCCAUUAAUUAACCAAAACACAACUCUUAACAGUGGAUAUCUCGGUUCUC